UACGUAGGGUGCAAGCGUUAAUCGGAAUUACUGGGCGUAAAGCGUGCGCAGGCGUUUGUAAGUCUGUCGUGAAAUCCCCGGGCUCAACCUGGGAAUUGCGAUGGAGACUGCAAGGCUAGAAUCUGGCAGAGGGGGGUAGAAUUCCACGUGUAGCAGUGAAAUGCGUAGAGAUCGGAAAAGAACACCAACGGCGAAAGCACUCUGCUGGGCCGACACUGACACUGAGAGACGAAAGCUAGGGGAGCGAAUGGG
rnacentral:rRNA from 1 species